AAUUUGCAGUUGAUGCUAAAGUUUAGUUGGUGGCUCUACUGAUAAGGCACCCAAUUUCAGGCACCCGUAGAGAGGCAGAGGCAGUUGAAGCUAAUGAUAUUACUUCAAUCAAGUUCCACAUGUGAAUGUUGUCAGCGGUUUUAAGUUCAAUUUAAUCGGCGAGGCAGUGUUUGGUUUCUUUGGUUGCUACUGUAUAUAGAUUGAUCACUGAUUUAAUUCACUUGUCAACAAUUAAUUAGUUAGGUGCUAAUAUGUAGUAACCAGCUAUCAAUUCAAUUUUUUUUCCUUACAAUU